rnacentral:rRNA from 1 species
UACGGGGGAUGCAAGCGUUAUCCGGAAUCAUUGGGCGUAAAGCGCCUGUAGGUUGUUUAAUAAGUCUGUUGUUAAAGACUAGGGCUUAACCCUAGAAGAGCAGUGGAAACUACUAGACUAGAGUAUGGCAGGGGUAGAGAGAAUUUCUAGUGUAGCGGUGAAAUGCGUAGAUAUUAGAAAGAAUACCGGUGGCGAAGGCGCUCUACUGGACUAUUACUGACACUCAGAGGCGAAAGCUAGGGUAGCAAAAGGGAUUAGAUACCCCUGUAGUCCUAGCCGUAAACGAUGGAUACUAGAUGUUGUGAUUUAUUUACAGUGUCGUAGCUAACGCGUUAAGUAUCCCGCCUGGGGAGUACGCUCGCAAGGGUG